GCCUGGGUGGCUCAGUGGGUUAAGCAUCUGACUUUGGCUCAGGUCAUGAUCUUGCAGUUCAUGGGUUCGAGCCCCGUGUCGGGCU
rnacentral:tRNA from 1 species